rnacentral:lncRNA from 1 species
GGGAGCUCGGCGAGGCGGAUACAUGGUCGGGAUGAGUCAUCAGAUGUGGAGAUGGUGGUCCUCAGGUAUUGAAUAUUGAGAGGGGUGUUGGCAAUGGUGAUGGUGAAGCCAGUUCUUUGCUGAAUUUGCUUAGCUAGAGCUAGGAAAGGUAUGAUAUGGCCCUGGGCCAUGAAAGGGAGCAUCACUAUAUGUUCCUGCUGAGAACCCAUCUUGUGAUUUCUCCUAUGGGUGUAGCUGACGGUCCUGAGACUUGGUGUUCUAUGACUCUGAAGUUUUGUACGGGUAAAGAACCUUUUUUCUGGCUCUGGUGGGUGGUGAUGAAAUAGAGACUAAAGGAUAAAUGCCGAGACAUAAAAAUACUAGAAUAUUAAGGGGCCUUCUUGAAGCAUGGAAACCUAUUCUUUUGUCGUGUGGUGGCGGGGAAUCGGUGAUAGCCGGCUUAUACAAUAUCAGAGAGUAUGUUUGGACAUGAGUGCAUUGAUAGUGAUUUCAGGAAUUCCUUCUAAUUUUUUUAAAUAUUUAAAAGUUUUCAUUAAAAGAAUUGAUUUCAAAAACACAUUUCACAGUUUUACCGUAGAUGAGGAAAGGGAAUAGAUGUCCGAUUCCUCCCUCCCCUCAUUCCCAUGUUUCGGGAUACAUUUUAGGGAGAAUUAUGUUUUGGGGGUAGAUGGGGCCCCAAAUUAAUAAAAGGUCCAUAUAACUCUUUAAAUUGAGUUGAAGGAUAUGAAAUAGUAAUGGACAAAUAUACCCUUAAAAAAUAUAUAUAAAAUAUUUUAUAAAAUUAAGUUAAAUAAAUUUUUUUUAAUAUUUUUUUUUUCAAAAAUACUAAAUUAAAUAAAAGUAGUUUUCAAAAAUAUAAAAUUAAAUAAUUUUUUUUUCAAAAAUAUUAAAUUAAAUAAAAGUAUUUAAAAAAAAAUUAAAUUAAAUAUUUUUCAAAAAUAUUAAAUUAAAUAAAAGUAUUUUUAAAAAAUUAAAUAUUUUUUAAAAAUAUUAAAUUAAAUAAAAGUAUUUUUUAAAAAUAUUAAAUUACAUAAAAGUAUUUUUAAAAAAUAAUAAAUUAAAUAAAAAAUAUUUUUUAAAUAUGUUUUUUUCUCAAAAUCAACAAAGGGCAUUUUUGAAAAUAUUGAAGGAUAAUAUCCUUCAACUCAAUUUCCAUACUUUCGUUGGGUCUUGGACUCAAUUUGAAGGGUUAUAUGGACCUUUUGUUAAUUUGGGGGUCCAUCUAGCUCCAAAACAUAAUUCUCUCUAAAUUUUAUUAAGAUAGUAAUGAAAAAAAAAAUAAUUUCAAUAAAAUUCAAAUCCCAUUUAUAAGUAAAAUUUUAAUUUAUUGUAAUUAAGUAGUAUUUUGAUUCAUUUAUCCAUGAGAAAAUAUAAAAUAGUUUGAAAUUAUUAUUUUACCCUUGAAUUUCAUUCAUCAAACUUCCACGUCUCGUCUCUUCUCCCAUAAUGAGACUAUUUUUUUAGUCUUCUUAUUAUUUAGUAACAAAAAAAAAAAACUCUUAAAAUUUAUUUUUUAAACAAUAAAAAAAAAAAUAAUUUAAACUAUGUGUAAGGAAAUUAUUAUCAAUUUUUUUCUUUUUCAUUCUCAUUCCUAUUAUUACCAAACAUUAGAAUAUAAAUAAAUAAUCAUUCUAAUAUUAAAUUAUUAGUUUUAUCCAAACACUAGAAAUAAAAUCACUAAAUUCAUUUUCAUUUACAAAGAAAAAAAUAAAAAAUAUUCGUUUCCAUUAUCUAUUCCUAUGUACCAAAAUAGUAUUUUUAUAUAGUAUUUCUAAAAAAAUUAUCUAUCAAAUGUUUUUUCUUAAAGAAGUAUUACAAAUGAUUUUUUUAUUUUUUAAAAUCAUUUUUUUUUAAUUUUAUUAACUUCUAUUUUUUUGUUUUAAAAUAUUUUUUUUUGUAUUAAAAUAUGUUUAAAAAUAUACUACCAAACCUUGUUAGGGAUGUGAAUGGGGGUUGGGAGAUUCAAGAUGUACUACACUUUUGGGACUUUAUGCUUGAAAGAAAAUAAUGUGUGGUUGCAGUUGUGGUGUUGCUGAAGCUCAUUAAUGCCUUCACGCACUUAAAAGCUAUUCUUUCGCUUAUGUCCAUAUACAACCAAUGGCGUGUUUACUUUGAAUUAAGGAAAAAGGGACUCAUUUUCUUAAUUAGUGUUUAAUUUUUUAAUUGAUUAAAAAAAGUAAAAAUAUUUGAUUUUAUUUUUUAUUAAAUUAAAAAUAAACUAUUAACAUCUACCAAUAUAACUAAUCGAACAUAUGGAUAAAAAAUUCAUUUUAAUUCUAUUGAUUAAUAUCAUUAAAUUAUUUUUAAUUAAAUAUUUCAAUUUUUUUUAUUCAAUUAAAAAACAAACACCACUUUAAUCUUAUUCUAUUCCAUCCUAUCUUUCCAAUUUUGGAAUCAAAAGAUAUGUUCCCAAAUUAGAGAGUAGAUUUUAUUUUAUUUUUUAAUUUUUUGUUUAAAGGUAAUCAUUUCGAAACGUUGGGGAAAAAGUAAUUUAAACUUACUCCACCCUGUCCACAAAUUUAACAAUAUAUAUAUUUUAAUUUUUCUUCCAUUAAUACUUUUAGGUAAAAGGUGAAGUGUACAUGCCAUAAAUGCAACAACAAUCAAUUUAAUGGUUACAAAUAUGGAACUCAAUUGGUGGGUACCAUUGAUAGAAGCCUUUUCAAUCUAUUAAAGUUUUCGACUUAUUUAAAGAUGGGUUGUUUGAUUAAAAGGCGGUAGAAACCAAUUUUGAAAAUCUAAUCUCCCAUUAUUUUUUUAUUAUAUUAUAACAAAAAUGUCCUUAUUUUUAAAAAUCUAAAAAUUGAAAGUUGUAAAAUAAUUACAAAAUUAUCUCCCCUUCUAAAAAUGAUAUUAAUUUUUUUGUUAUUUAAAUUUUAAAAAUAUAUUAUAUAUAUUUAUGAUGUCCUUUUAAUAUUAUAGUUUGGUCAUGAUUGAAGUAAAUGACUAGCUAAUAAUCUAAAACUCCAACAACUUUCUUUAAGGACAAUUUCAACCAAGGAUGAAAAUAUUGAUAAUUACAGAUAUAUCGGUCUUUUGAUUUUACGGAAAUAUUAGAGAAAUAUCGGUUAUAAGAAUGCUUGGAAAAACUCCAAAAAAUAAUAAAAUAAGCAAGAAUAUACAUUUUAAAGUUAUUUUGUAGGUGUAAUUGAUAUAAAUAUGAUCAAGAAGAAAAACAUCGGUAGACAGAGAUAUAUCGUUUCACACCGAUAUAUCGUUAAUAUUUUGGCGAUUUUCCCUAUAUUUUUAUGAUAUUCCUCCCGUUCGAUAAUCUGUGCUCAAAAUCAUUUCGAGACCGUCUGAUAUAUGAUAUAUCGGUGAUAAAAACCGAAAUUGCAAUCCAUGAUUUCAACUUCAAGGGGCAAAAUUAUUUUCUUUUUCACAAAUAUUUUGAGUGUAUUUCAUUAGUCUCAAAUCUAGAAAGGGUCAUUCAUAAACUAUUUAAAGAACCAAAAAAAAAAAAAAAAGUUCAAAAAAGGAGAUUGAAGUUAAUUUUUUUACUUAUUUUAUUUGGGAAUUCAAAAUUCAUAAAAAUUUCAAGCUCAAACUCUUGAUCUUUUAAUCAUCAUAAUUUAAUUACUAUACUCCUAACAUAAUAACAAUGUUAUCAUCAUAACGAUUCUAUUAUACAAUAGUAAUUAAAUUAUUAGAGUUUUGUGACCUGAAUUCUAUUUGAUCUAACCCAAAAAGUUCAUGAUGCGACAUAUAUAGUGAAGAAAAAUAAUGAGAUUUUUUGGGGGUCUAUAGUGGUAGCGGAAGGAUCGGGCCAAUAUAUAUAUAUGCGAUGAUGUAUAGGAUUUAUGAUUAUGAUGUUUAUGCCUAUAUAUAUACGAUGAUGUAUAGGAUUUAGGGUUAUGAUAUUUAUGCCUAUGCAAUAGUUACUCGCAUCUCUCAUCUCUUGUAUUAAUUUUUGACAUACUGAAUUUUCUUCUUCUUUGUUCGUGGUUUUUCCCAUCUAAGGUUUUCCACGUAAAAUUGUGUAUUGUUAUUAUGUUUAAUUUCUUAUUACCUAUUCUUGUUCUUUCAUAACAUAAUUCUUAUAUGAUGAUGAUGAUCGAAUUGAUCGGGUUUGGUUGGAUUUGGAUCACUAAAACCAAACCACCUGUAAUACUAAAUUAAUCAUUGGUUUGCCAUCUUCACAAACCUAAAUAAUUGGCAAUUGAUAGGAAAAAAGCAAUUGACUACCUACAACGAAUUCUCGGUAAUCUUAAUUUUUGUUGUUGAAAUAAUUCAAUGCAAUAAACCAUCCUUGGCCUACCAAAAUAUACAGUUUUUCCUUCCAAGUUCAAUAUAGCCAAGUGUUUUAAAAAAUCAGUAUUUCAGACAAAAGCAAAAAUGCUACAUCAAUCUAACAGCUCCUUCAAAAUAAUUUUCAAGAUAAAUGUCCUAGAUUUGUCCUUUGGAGAACAGAAUCAGAGCUAUUACAGUCCAGUUCAAUUCAUUCACUGAUAUUUCAAGCAGACAACAAUAUCAUUGAAUUGUUAACUAUACACAUUAUAUAUAGAAUAACAAUUCAGUUCAAUUUAUUCACAGAUAAAAAGGUUAAAUGUUUUCAUUAUGGAAGAUUAGGACACAUAGCUACAGAUUGCCCUAGUCCAAAAAAUGCUAAGAAAGCAAUGCAAGUGACUUAGAGUGAUUCUGAGUAGAGUGAAAGUGAAUCUUCAAACUCAAGAGAAGCAAGAAUGAUCAAAAUGAUGACUUUAUUGCUUUUGUUGCAUCAAUUAAUUUCGAUUUUGAUCCUAUGAUUGAUAUAAAGUCUAAUGAUGAUUCUAAAUGUUCGUUUGAUAGUAUACAUGAUGCUUAUGAAGCCCUACUUGAAUGAAGUCUAAAAUUCAAGGUUGAAAAUGUGAAAUACAAAAGAAAAAAUGAAAAAGAAAAAUAGGGCUUCAGAGAUAAAUAAUUUGAAUGAAUCCCUUAGAUUGGAAAAUUCCAACCUUCUCAAAGAAAUUACAACAUUUAUAUAUAAGAUGAAAAGAUGAAAAAAGAACUUAUAUUGUAAAAAGAAAAAGACACCCAAAUGUUGAAUUGUUGAACAAUUUGAUAAAUUCAUGUAUGUCUUUUGAUGAUAAAAGAGGUCUAUGAUGUCUUGAUCAGUCAACUAAUCAUACUAAUGCAAAGCAUAACUUUGUUAAGGCUAAAUAGGGAAUUCUUAUUGUCUAAUACCCAAUAGGUUCAUUUACACAAGCUCGUUUUGUCAUAAGAUUGGUUAUACUAAUGAUAGGUGUCAUAUUAGAAAGUUUGAAGAGUUCCAUGGGCAAAAUUAGCAAGCUUGUAGUUGAGUUUAAAGCAUCGAGAGACAAAAUCUUAUUUAAUAGAAAAAAAAGAAAAACUGUUCAAUGGGUUGCAAAAGCUCACACCAAGCUAAAUAUAGUAUGAAUAUUCAUGAUUUCCAUCUUGGUAAUCAAAUUCAUCUUUUAGGGUCCUUAAACUAGGCAAAAUUGAUUUAGGAAAGAUGACCAAGUUAAGCUUUAGAGUAAAGGCUUUGCCAUGUCAAAAGUCAUUCCCUUAGAUUCUUUUAAGACUUUGUUUCUUAGGAAAUAAUUAGGAGUUUUCUCUUCUUCAUAGCACAUUUUGUUUCAUAGUCUAAGGUCUUGUCUUAGUAUUGUAUUUUUAUUCCCAGUGUUAUGUCUAUUUUAGUCCUUAGAGUUUUUCUAGUUAUGUUUUCUUUAUAGAACUUCGUUGUUAGUAUGCUAUUCUUAACUUGAUUGAGUCUAGAUCAUGAAUUUAUGGGAAGUGUUCUUGGUUAUUUCUUGGAGCAAUGUCAUAUGCUUGAUCCAAGAUGAUUGAUUGAGGGGAAUCAUUCUUUUAGGUUCUAGGUUCAUUACAUUUCAUGCUUAUAUUUUGGUGAAAAUUGUUGAUUACUUAAUUAAUUAUUAUUUUCUUAAAUGGUUUAAGUUAUUUUUUUUUUAUUUUGUUAUUCUUUGAAAAGUUCAUCCUUAUAUCAAUUAUACUUGGGGAUCACUUUUAAUUUUUUUUUUUUAAAAAAAAAACUAAAAACGAAGUAAAUAGGGAAUUUGAUUUGGUUAUGCUAUAAGAUCUUCUAUUAAUCUUAAUGAAAAAGAGAUUUCAAAUUCAAGGAUUCAUAACAUCAUGCUUAUUUCAAUAUAACUUGCCAUAUCAUAUUUGAUAUAGUUCAAAACUUAGAUUUGAAGUGAAAAAGGUUACCUUAGUUAAAUUAAUAUUACAUAUCCAUAAACUAAGAGUGAAAGCCAUCAAGAUACUUGGGAAAACCCCUUUGUGGAAUGGCUAAAUAUUCAUCAAAGAUAAUUUUUUAUAUUUAUGAUUAAAGUUCUCUACCUUCAAAAUCAAUAAAAAUAAAAAUAAUCAAUUAAUGGGGAAUAAUUAAAUUUAUGCUUUCAAUAUCAACACAUCAUCAUGUUAAACAGAAAUCUAGUCGAACUAUUUUCAAAUUGAAUGAGUUUUUAAUUGAUUUAAAAACAAACAUGAUCUAGCUAAUUAACAAAUUGAAUUUAUAAAUUGAAUUACUUUAUUCAAACAUUAGGCAAACGACCUUGAUAUUAACUAUUUUAGUUGAUAUUAUUUUUUGUUAUAUCUUAUUGGUUGUUGAAAAGUUUUAUAGUCUAAUUUGUCAUUAAUUUGCUUUUCUAAAUAGUUUUUGCAAAGAAUUUAGAUAAUCUAAAUUCAAUUUCGUGAGUUGUACUUGGGUUAUUUGUGAUAAUUAUAAUAUGUUAAUCUUCGACAAUAUUUUGAGAGUUAUUGACAUAAGAAUUAACAUCUUUUGUGUCUAUAUGUUUUCUUUGGACUUGUAGAUGAAUUUUGCGGAAUUUUAUAUCAAGGAGGACAUUUUGGGCUAUCCAAGGACAUCUCAAGCAUUUAAAAAGCUUGAAGAAUGUGUGAAAAAGGACUAAAAGUAAGGAAGCCUUUCAAACCCUACUUAAGUUGCAUCAAACACCCACACCUUUCCUCAUCUAUAAAUGCAUAUUUUCAUUCUUUCUGCAUACAUUGGUCUUUCUUGCUUUCUUUACUCAUCUUUGUCAUUUUUAUGACAAAAUAAGGAAAAUGAUUGAUGUGUAAAAAUGAUUACGAUGGAUAUUUAUUAUUUAUUUACAUUCUUGAUGAUAUUAUGAUCAUGUUGAUUUAUUUUGAUGAUUGACAUUUGAUGUUGAUACAUGAUUAUUUAUUAUUUGGAUUAUAACAAUUACCUUUAUCACAUAGUAUAUGGUUUAUAAAGUUUUUCCACGUAGUGUUCUUUGUGGGCAUUUUUGUUUAAGAAUGUGCAUGCAAGUCGUGGGUUUUCAGGACUUUUCAAAAUUCAUUGCGUAAUAAUUGAAGAUUAUAGUUUAGGAUGUUUGGUUUAGACUUGAAAAUUAUUGAGUGACAUUUUAACUUUAUUUGAGAAUAUUGAGAGGUUUAUGUAAAUUAUUUUCUCUCAAAAUUAUUGAAGGGGAAGAUUAUUAGUGUACUAGAUCGACAAACUAUUUUAGGUUGACAAUUAAUUUUGUUCCAUACAUUCUUGGAUUCUAACCUAUAUACAUCUCAAGUUUUACAUUGGCCUUGAAGACUUGAAAUCAUAGUAUAUUCAUUAACAACAUAGAUUAUGUAAGUGUUAUUGAGUUACUAAGAUAAUGACAUAAUUAUGGCAUAUAGUGGAGUAAUGUUUAAGUUGGGCAAGAAAAUUGAAUUUGAAAAAAAAAAAAAUCUUUCUCAAUCUUUCUAAACUUCUCUAUGCUAGCAAAUCCAUUUUUGUGAAGAUUUAAUUCCAAAUUAGUAUAGAUUUGAAAAUCUUUUCAAAAUUCACCAAGUUUUGAAAUCAUUUUUAUAAAGAUUUGUUCCUAAAAUUUGCUCAAUCUAUUUGAGCUAUUAUCUUAUAAAUAUAUUUAUUGGUUGUGCUAUAUAGCAACCUUGCACCCAAGAGUUUAUUGUCAUUAUCCUUGCACAUUUUCACACGAUCAAACUCAAAUCUUAUUUGAAUUUGCUCAUGAUGGUUGAUUGUGCCCCUUCAAGUUGUUUAGACAUUCACUAAGAAGGAAGAGUUGUGUUAUGCAUGCGAGAACAAGUGUAGAUUGUGACAAUGUAAUUCUCAAGGAUAAUAAUGACUUACAGGUAAAUCUAUGUACUCAAUCUUUUUAUAUAUAUUUCAUGGAUUUAAGUUUAUGGUUUAUAUCUUCGUGGGGUCUUUGAGAAGCUUAAUGAAGGUCCAUGAUUAGAAGUUUAUGGAUUAAUUCAUUGUUAAUAUCCUAAUCAAAUAACUUAUAAAAAUUAAAAAUUUAUUUAUUUUUGGCUAAUAUAUAAUUGAGGAUUAUCACCGCCUCUGGCCAGUUCCAUGAUACUUAAUCUCAAACUUUCACAUUCAUCACAAAGCUAAUUAUAUCCUCAAAAAAUUUAUAAAGUUUGUUGGAAUUUUUAUAUAGGUGAAAGGAAAUUAGGACACAUCUUUCCCUAAUGGAUACUACAUAUUUCAAAUGAUGUCUCUAGUAUAAGUGAAUGAAAAUUAGGAUACAUAUUUUCCUAAUGGAUACUACAUAUUUCAAAGGAUGUGUCUAGUACUUUAAAAACACAUAUCUUCUAAUAAGUCACUGACAAAUCUAUAAAUAGGACUCCUAUGAAAUUUCUCAUUCAUUUUUCAUUCAAUUAUUUAUCUAUACUCUCCACUCUUUCUCCUCUUUUGUCAUUUAAAACAUUCAAGUCCUCUUUUGCUUCAAGUUUAGUAAUUUCUCAUUUCGAUCGAAUAUUUGAUAUUAAAGAGAGUACAAACUACUAAGUGAUUCAUUGUUUCUUGUGAUUUAAAGUACUACUAUCACAAAAAAGUUAUUAUUAUAUCAUGGGAGACGAUGGUUAAUAGACCAUAAGCACCUAAGUGAAACAAAUUAGUUUUAAGGACAUAGAGUCAAAAUCUAGCCUCGAUCAAUUUUAUUUGUGAGUUUCAAUUUUCUAUUUACUUUGUAUAGAUUUGAAAAUCUUUUCAAAAUUCAUCGAUUUUUCAAAUCAUUUUUAUAAAGAUUUGUUCCUAAAAUUUGCUCAAUCUAUUUGAGCUAUUAUCUUAUAAAUAUAUCUAUUGGUUGUGCUAUAUAGCAACCUUGCACCCAAGAGUUUAUUGUCAUUAUCCUUGCACAUUCCCACACAAUCAAACUCAAAUAUUAUUUGAAUUUGCUCAUGAUGGUUGAUUGUGCCCCUUCAAAUUGUUUAGACAUUCACUAAGAAGGAAGAGUUGCGUUAUGAAUGUGAGAACAAGUGUAGAUUGUGACAAUGUAAUUCUCAGGGAUAAUAAUGACUUAUAGUUAAAUCUAUGUACUCAAUCUUUAUAUAUAUAUUUCAUGGAUUUAAGUUUAUGGUUUAUAUCUUCGUGGGGUCUCUAAGAAGGUUUAUGAAGGUCCAUGAUUAGAAGUUUAUGGAUUAAUUCAUUGUUAAUAUCCUAAUCAAAUAACUUAUAAAGAUUAAAAAUUUAUUUAAUUUAUGCUAAUAUAUAAUUGAGGAUUAUCACCGCCUCUGGGCAGUUCCAUGAUACUUAAUCUCAAACUUUUACAUUCAUCAUUAAGCUAAAUAUAUCCUCAAAAAAUUUAUAAAGUUUGUUGGAAUUUUUAUAUAGGUGAAUGGAAAUUAGGACACAUUUUUCCCUAAUGGAUACUACUUAUUUCAAAUGAUGUGUCUGAUAUAGGUGAAUGGAAAUUAGGAUACAUAUUUUCCUAAUGCAUACUACAUAUUUCAAAGGAUGUGUUUAGUAUUUUAAAGGCACAUCUCUUCUAAUAAGUCACCAACAAAUCUAUAAAGAGGGAGUCCCAUGAAAUUUCUCAUUCAUUUUUUAUUUAAUUAUUUAUCUAUUCUCUCCCCUCUUUCUCCUCUUUUGUCAUUUAAAACAUUCAAGUCCUCUUUUGUUUCACGUUUAGUAAUUUCUAAUUUCUACCAAAUAUUUAAUAUUCAAGAGAGUAGAAAUUACUAAGUGAUUCAUUGUUUCUUAUGAUUUAAAGUGCUACUAUCACAAAAAAGUUAGCAUUAUAUCAUGGGAGACGAUUGUUAAUAAACCAUAAGCACCUAAGUGAGACAAAUUCAUUUUUAGGACAUAGAGUCAAAAUCUAACCUCAAUGAAUCUCAUUUGUCAGUUUCAAUUUUCUAUUUGCUUUAUGUUAUUUAUAUAUUUAUUGUCUACACUUAUUAUCCAUAUAUUUUUCGGUGAUUUGGAUAACAAAGUUAAGGUCUCUCUCAAGGGAAUAAACCUUUACAUUUAAUAUAUGAUUGAGAAUUGUAAAAAACGCCUAUUGCUCUAAAUACACUAGAGCUUGAGGAAUAUAUGUCACCAUUUUGGACCCUCAAAGGAUUCACUUUGAGCCCCAUCUUUCGAGAUGCUCUCAUAAUCUCUAAAAUAUCGCCCAACCGAACCAAGAAGAAAUGAACAUAAAUAAAAAGAUAAAGAGGAUUCUAGUUUGUAAAAUGAAAGAUGACCAUCUUUCUAUGGAAUAUUUUAGCCAAAAAGAAAGAAAGAAAGAAACUCUGUUUCUCUUAUUCUAAAAUAAGUAAGUUUAUUCAUAGUUAUUCAACCAAGAAGAUCCUCAGUAGCCUUGUCUCUUGGAAAGCAUUGUGGAGACAAAAUCAUCCAUUGCUUUCAGAGAAGACCCUUCCUCUCUCAUUGCAUCUCUUAUCUUCUCUCCAAUCUCUGCUGCUUUCUUCUUCAUCUCCUCUGCUUUCCCUUUACUGUCCAUAACCAACUCUAUUACUCUCUUCACCUCCUUCCUCACCACUGCACCCUGCAGUCCUCUUGUCAACUCCACAGCCACUCCCAUGUCCUCCACCAGCAUUUUGGAGUUAUAGCAUUGCUCUGCAGCCAACGGCCACGCUAUUAUUGGAACUCCCACACAGAGGCUUUCCAUCACUGAGUUCCAUCCGCAGUGGCUGAGGAAGACCCCAGUUGAUUUGUGUGAUAGGAUCUCCAAUUGGGGUGCCCAGUUGUGGACAAUCAGGCCUUGGUUUCUAUCAGCCAUUCGCUGUUCGAACUUUUCUGGUAACCAUUCUGCUCGAAACUCACCUUUUAUGUCGAAACCAACUGGAGGCCUAAUCACCCAGAUGAAGGGUUUCCCGCUGUCCUCCAAGCCCAUGGCUAGCUCCAUCAUCUGAGACGGACUAAUAGUGUUCUGUGAACCGAAGGAGAUGUAAAGAACUGAACUUUGUGGAUGUUUGUCCAGCCAUUCCAGGCAUUUCUCAGGAGACACUCCAGGCACUUUCCAGGCUCGUUGCCCGAAGAUGCUACCCGAGGAAGGUGAAUGAUUGAGCAGAGCUGGAGGGAGAAGAGGUCCUAUGGUCCACACAGGAAGCUUUACAUAGUUUCUAAAUAUCUCCAGGCCUUGAGGCUCAAUCUCCUCAGCUGUGUUACACAACCACCCUGAAGACUUUAAAGAAUUUGCUAGCAUAGGCUGGAAAUACCUAGACCAAACAUCGGUUCCGUCAGCCACUCUCAGGUACUGAUGAAGCUGAGUGAUGUGGAAGCGGCAGGAAUCAGGAAACCCUGGCACCGCAAAGUAAUCAGAUUCUGUGGCGCGAUGUGGGAGGUUCUGCCACAAAGACAUGUAGGCUGCAGUGCCAUAGGCGCCACCGGUGGUGAAUGUGACAUUGGCAGUGCCUAAACUCUUGGCAACUUCCGUGGCCCAUCCAAAGAACACAUCAGAUAUUAUGCAAAGAGGAGGCCUGCCUUCUUUCUCAAUGAUCCCAGAAACAAGGCUGUGAAAAGGAGCUUGGAGAGAAUUGGAGGCGUGGAAAAAGGUCACAAACUGUUGAAGAGACAAGGAUUCAGUGUUCUCAGUGUGGGGCGGGAGGCCAUGAUCAGAGCCGCAGAAUGGAAGUUCGGCGAGGCGGAUACUCGGUUGGGAUGAGUCAUUUGAUGUUGUGGAGAGGGUGGUUCUGAGGUGUUGGACAUUGAGAGGGGUGUUGGCAAUGGUGAUGGUGAAGCCAGUUCUUUGCUGAAUUUGCUUAGCUAGAUGUCACAAGCUGACCCAAAUGAGCCUCCCCAUAGCCUUAUAUAGGGCCAGGAAGCUUCUGGAGACUCCUAGAAUGGGAAGAGUGUGGAAGGUUCUAGAGAAGUCUGGAAAAGUCCACACAAUUCUACACUAUGGUGGAAGGCACAAGAGGAGUCCGGGGCUUUCUAGAGAAGUCUAGAAGACUCUUGUAUAUACUUGUAUAUAGGCUUGUAACUAGAAUGAUGUAGGACAUUCUAGAAUAGUCUUGAAAUGUAAGGAACCCUCCAAGGUUCCAGAGAGUUCCAUUGGUGCCUAUAAAUAGGUGAGGGCCUCNNNNNNNNNNNNNNNNNNNNNNNNNNNNNNNNNNNNNNNNNNNNNNNNNNNNNNNNNNNNNNNNNNNNNNNNNNNNNNNNNNNNNNNNNNNNNNNNNNNNUACCAGAAAGUGAGGCUAGCUGGGAGCCAGCAGAGGCACUAUGGCAGUUCCAGGAACAGAUCGAGCGGUUCCGGGCAGAAGGCGCGACGAGGACGUCUGCGGCAUAGGUGGGGGAGAGUGUCACAAGCUGACCCAAAUGAGCCUCCCCAUAGCCUUAUAUAGGGCCAGGAAGCUUCUGGAGACUCCUAGAAUGGGAAGAGUGUGGAAGGUUCUAGAGAAGUCUGGAAAAGUCCACACAAUUCUACACUAUGGUGGAAGGCACAAGAGGAGUCCGGGGCUUUCUAGAGAAGUCUAGAAGACUCUUGUAUAUACUUGUAUAUAGGCUUGUAACUAGAAUGAUGUAGGACAUUCUAGAAUAGUCUUGAAAUGUAAGGAACCCUCCAAGGUUCCAGAGAGUUCCAUUGGUGCCUAUAAAUAGGUGAGGGCCUCAUUUGGCCAAGGCACCAAGCAAGUGAGCAUCCAAGCACUUGUAAAGGCUUCCUUGAGAUAAUAAAGCUUCCAUUCUUUAAGAAGUUGCCUACCAAGCUUCUUAAGCUUUUGAGUCGCAAGUGUCUUAGCCGAGCAAGCUAAGCAUUGGGGAGCAAGGCUGACUUAGCAAGAUCAAGCGUCUUGGCUUGUCUAAGUGCCGCACGAGCUUAGUGAACGACUAAGUCCGUGACAAGUGGUAUCAGAGCGCGGUUACAAGGUGGGCAUACCAAAGGAAGCAUGUCGGGCUCUAACGUGGAGGAGACUAGCGAGCAAACCCGUGGACGGGAGAUAGAGCGGGCUGCACGAGGCCGAGGUAGGAAGGAUAAGUCUCAUGACGCCUUAGCCAACAUGGAGGCAAGGCUAGCCAAGGUGGAGCUAGCCAUGGCGGACACCCGGGAAGGGGUGGACUUGAUUGAGCAAGGCAUGGAGAAGGGAUUAGAGGAUCUAAGGGAACAGAUCCAAGACCUUCGCGAGGGAGUGCUAGGCUCACAAGUUCAGCCGGUGUCACAUGAGGAGUUCAUGUCCUUCCAAGACAAGGUCAUGACCAUGUUCGCUAGUGUGGAGUCAAGGAUGGAGGCCUUGGCUGCACGCAUGGAUACCCGAGACCAAGAGAUCCGACAAGAGCUGGCCAUCUACAAGACUGCGGUGUCAGCACGCGUCAUGGCCACUCAUGAGGCACCAAGGGUGGAGGUGCCCAAGCCACACACGUUCAGUGGCAAGAGGGAUGCCAAGGAACUGGAUAAUUUCUUGUGGCACAUGGAACGUUACUUUGAGGCCAUUGCAUUGACGGAUGAAGCCACUAAGGUACGCACCGCGACCCUCUACCUCACCGAUAAUGCUACUCUAUGGUGGCGUCGACGGUUUGCCGACAUAGAGAGAGGGACAUGCACCAUAGACACAUGGGAUGCCUUCAAGAGAGAAAUCAAGAGGCAAUUCUAUCCCGAAGAUGUGGCUUAUCUAGCAAGGAAGAGUUUGAAGCGUCUCAAGCACACGGGCUCGAUCCGUGAGUAUGUCAAAGAAUUCUCUACUCUUAUGCUUGAGAUACCUAACAUGGCUGAGGAGGAGCUGCUGUUCAACUUUAUGGACAACUUGCAAAGCUGGGCCGAGCAAGAGUUGAGGAGACGUGGUGUCCAAGACCUAGCCACGGCCAUGGCAGUAGCCGAGUCCUUAGUGGAUUAUAGAAGGGGAGACUCCUCCAAGCCCAAGCCACCAUCCAAGGGUAACCCGGCCAAAGGUGGGGGAGACAAGAGGUCGCAGGGCCACACUCCUAAGGAAGGAUCGAGCAAGGGCCCUAGUGGCAAGGAUGGCAAAGGCAAGGACAAGCGGAAGGAGUUCAAGCCCAGGACCAAUUGCUUCUUGUGCGAUGGUCCGCACUGGGCACGGGACUGCCCUAAGAGGAAGGCUUUAAAUGCUAUGAUCGAGGAGAAGGAGCAGGAAGACGAUGCUAAGAUGGGAUCGUUGCAGCUCCUAAAUGCCCUUAAGGCCAAGCCGACGCCUAAGACGCCUCAAAGCAAAGGGCUGAUGUACGUGGAGGCCCUUGUGAAUGGUAAGGCCACCAAGGCCCUGGUGGACACAGGUGCCACUCACAACUUUGUCUCGGAGGAUGAGGCAAAAAGGUUGGAGCUCCAAGCAUCCAAAGAAGGAGGAUGGCUCAAGGCAGUCAAUUCAGCCGCCCAGCCAUCGCAAGGAGUAACUCGCGGGGUGACUAUGCACAUUGGCUCGUGGGAAGGAAGGGUCGACUUCACAGUGGCACCCAUGGACGACUUCAAGAUGGUGCUAGGAAUGGAUUUCCUACAGAAGGUCAAGGCCGUGCCACUACCUUUCCUACGCUCAAUGGCUAUCCUAGAGGAGGAGAAGCCGUGCAUGGUCCCUACAGUCACUGAAGGUACGCUCAAGACCCCUAUGCUAUCUGCUAUGCAAGUAAAGAAGGGGUUAAAGAGGGAAGAGGUGACCUACCUCGCCACCUUAAAGGAAGAGAAGGAUGAUGGGUCGGGAGAACCCAUUCCUAAGGAAAUCGAGGGGGUCCUUGAUGAGUUCAAGGACGUGAUGCCGCCCGAGUUGCCUAAGAGACUUCCUCCUAGAAGAGAGGAAGAUCACAAGAUUGAGUUGGAGCCAGGAGCCAAGCCCCCUGCUAUGGGGCCAUAUAGGAUGGCACCACCUGAGUUGGAGGAGCUAAGGAGACAACUCAAGGAGUUGCUAGAUGCGGGGUUCAUCCAACCGUCCAAGGCUCCCUAUGGCGCGCCGGUCCUAUUUCAGAAGAAGCAUGAUGGGUCCCUACGAAUGUGCAUAGAUUACCGGGCACUCAAUAAGGUGACGGUGAAGAACAAGUAUCCCAUCCCUCUCAUUGCUGACUUGUUCGAUCAACUUGGAAGGGCCAGGUACUUCACGAAGCUGGACUUAAGGUCGGGCUACUACCAAGUCAGGAUUGCGGAGGGAGAUGAGCCGAAGACUACAUGUGUGACCAGGUAUGGCUCAUAUGAGUUCUUAGUGAUGCCUUUCGGACUCACCAAUGCCCCAGCAACGUUCUGCACCCUCAUGAACAAGAUCUUCCACCCAUACUUGGACAAGUUCGUGGUGGUGUACUUGGAUGACAUAGUCAUCUAUAGUAACACUCUAAAGGAGCACAAAGAACACUUGAGGAAGGUCUUUAAGAUCUUGAGGCAGAACGAGCUAUACGUAAAGAAGGAGAAAUGUUCGUUUGCUAAGGAGGAAGUGAGCUUCCUUGGGCAUCGCAUCAGAGAUGGCAAGCUGAUGAUGGAUAAUAGCAAGGUGAAGGCCAUCCAAGAAUGGGAUCCACCAACCAAGGUACCUCAACUCAGAUCUUUCCUUGGUCUAGUUAAUUAUUACCGGCGGUUCAUAAAGGGUUAUUCGGCAAGGGCUGCCCCACUCACUGAUCUCCUUAAGAAGAAUAAGGCAUGGGAAUGGGAUGAAAGGUGCCAACAAGCCUUUGAGGACUUGAAGAAGGCUGUGACUGAGGAGCCAGUGUUGGCACUACCCGACCACACCAAGGUCUUUGAGGUACACACAGAUGCUUCAGACUUCGCUAUUGGGGGAGUCCUUAUGCAAGAGAGGCACCCAAUCGCAUUUGAGAGUCGCAAGCUAAACGACGCAGAGAGGCGUUACACGGUGCAAGAAAAAGAGAUGACUGCUAUCGUCCACUGCUUGCGCACCUGGAGGCACUAUCUACUAGGGUCUCACUUCAUAGUGAAGACCGACAAUGUGGCCACUAGCUACUUCCAAACACAGAAGAAGCUGAGUCCUAAACAAGCUAGGUGGCAAGACUUCCUGGCUGAGUUCGACUAUACGCUGGAGUAUAAGCCAGGAAGUGCUAACCAUGUGGCCGACGCCCUAAGUCGCAAAGCCGAGCUAGCGUCCAUGACGAGUCAGCCCCAAGGAGAUAUAGUGGAUCUUCUAAGGGAGGGACUGCAACAUGAUCCAGUGGCUAAAAGCCUUAUCGCCCUGGCUCAUGAAGGAAAGACUAAGCGAUUUUGGGUGGAGGACGGCCUACUCUAUACCAAAGGGAGACGACUCUACGUGCCUAAGUGGGGGAACAUAAGGAGGAACCUGAUUAAGGAGUGCCACGACACCAAGUGGGCUGGGCACCCUGGGCAACGACGCACUAGGGCACUACUCGAGUCGGCGUACUAUUGGCCUCAAAUACGGGAUGAGGUUGAGGCCUAUGUGAGGACUUGUCUUGUGUGCCAACAAGACAAGGUGGAGCAGCGACAACCUAGAGGCCUGUUAGAGCCACUACCUAUAGCAGAGCGCCCAUGGGACAGCGUCACCAUGGACUUCAUCAUCGGGCUACCCAAGUCAGAGGACAAUGGGUCUAUCAUAGUGGUGGUAGACAGGUUCUCUAAGUACGCAACCUUCAUAGCAGCCCCGACUGACUGCACGGCAGAAGAGACGGCAAGGCUAUUCCUAAAGCACGUAGUCAAGUAUUGGGGGUUGCCUAAGUUCAUCAUCAGUGAUCGCGACCCACGCUUCACUGGGAAGUUUUGGACGGAACUCUUCAAGCUUAUGGGUUCGGAGCUUCACUUCUCCACAAGCUUUCACCCACAGACAGAUGGACAGACUGAGAGGGUGAACGCCUUAUUGGAGCUCUACCUAAGGCACUUCGUGAGUGCCAACCAGAAGGAUUGGGCUAAGCUGCUAGAUGUAGCCCAGUUCUCAUACAACCUACAAAGGAGUGAGGCGACCAACAAGAGUCCGUUCGAGCUAGCUACGGGACAGCAACCGUUAACUCCUCACACCCUAACAAUUGGCUACACGGGGAGAAGUCCAGCGGCUUUCAAGUUCGCAAAAGGGUGGCACGAGCAAGCUGAUAUAGCACGCUCAUACUUGGACAAGGCCGCUAAGAAAAUGAAGAAGUGGGCUGACAAGAAGCGACGACACACGGAGUAUAAGGUCGGAGACAUGGUGCUUGUCAAGCUCCUUCCUCAACAAUUCAAGUCCCUAAGGCCGGUGCACAAGGGCCUUGUGAGGAGGUAUGAAGGACCCUUCCCCAUACUUGGGAAGGUCGGCAAGGUGUCCUAUAGAGUCGAGCUGCCCCCGAGGUUGAAGAUUCAUCCUGUCUUCCAUGCCAGCUAUUUGAAGCCCUAUCAUGAAGACAAGGAUAAUCCAAGCCGAGGGUUGUCCAAGAGGGCACCUACAGCGGUUGUGACCUCCUAUGAUAAGGAGGUAGAACUCAUCCUCGCAGACCGGGUCAUCAGGAGACGAGGGGUACCUCCUGCUACAGAAUACUUAGUGAAAUGGAAAGGACUACCAGAAAGUGAGGCUAGCUGGGAGCCAGCAGAGGCACUAUGGCAGUUCCAGGAACAGAUCGAGCGGUUCCGGGCAGAAGGCGCGACGAGGACGUCUGCGGCAUAGGUGGGGGAGAGUGUCACAAGCUGACCCAAAUGAGCCUCCCCAUAGCCUUAUAUAGGGCCAGGAAGCUUCUGGAGACUCCUAGAAUGGGAAGAGUGUGGAAGGUUCUAGAGAAGUCUGGAAAAGUCCACACAAUUCUACACUAUGGUGGAAGGCACAAGAGGAGUCCGGGGCUUUCUAGAGAAGUCUAGAAGACUCUUGUAUAUACUUGUAUAUAGGCUUGUAACUAGAAUGAUGUAGGACAUUCUAGAAUAGUCUUGAAAUGUAAGGAACCCUCCAAGGUUCCAGAGAGUUCCAUUGGUGCCUAUAAAUAGGUGAGGGCCUCAUUUGGCCAAGGCACCAAGCAAGUGAGCAUCCAAGCACUUGUAAAGGCUUCCUUGAGAUAAUAAAGCUUCCAUUCUUUAAGAAGUUGCCUACCAAGCUUCUUAAGCUUUUGAGUCGCAAGUGUCUUAGCCGAGCAAGCUAAGCAUUGGGGAGCAAGGCUGACUUAGCAAGAUCAAGCGUCUUGGCUUGUCUAAGUGCCGCACGAGCUUAGUGAACGACUAAGUCCGUGACAUAGAGCUAGGAAAGGUAUGAUAUGGCCUUGGGCCAUGAAAGGGAGCAUCACUAUAUGCUCAUGUUGAGAACCCAUCUCCUGAUUUCUCCUAUGGAUGUGACUGAGUCCUCAGACUUGGUAUAUAUUCUAUGGCUAUGGGGCUUUGUAUAGGUAAAGAACCCUUUUUCUGGUGGCGGUGAUACAAUAGAGACUAACGGGUAAAUGCUGAGACAUAUACUAAAAAACUUUUGGAGCUUGAAGCAUGGAAACCUAUUCUUUUGUUGUGGAGGUGGUGGUGAAUCAGUGAUGGCUAGGUAGCAUAGAUAAGGUUAGACAGUAGGUCUGGACAUGAAACACGCUUCUUCUUGAUACUUUGUAAUGGAAAGAAACCUUUCGGCGUGGUUGGAAUGGUGGGGAUGGCUCAGGGAUUAGGGAGUGG